rnacentral:rRNA from 1 species
GAAUAUUGGACAAUGGGGGCAACCCUGAUCCAGCCAUGCCGCGUGUGUGAAGAAGGCCUUUUGGUUGUAAAGCACUUUAAGCAGUGAAGAAGACUCCAUGGUUAAUACCCAUGGACGAUGACAUUAGCUGCAGAAUCAGCACCGGCUAACUCUUCGCCAGCACCCGCGGUAAUACAGAGGGUGCAAGCGUUAAUCGGAAUGACUGGGCGUAAAGCGAGAGUAGGUGGCGUGAUAAGUAAGAUGUGAAAUCCCCGGGCUUAACCUGGGAACUGCAUCUGAUACUGUUAGGCUAGAAUAGGUGAGAGGAAGGUAGAAUUCCAGGUAUAGUGGUGAAAUGCGUAGAGAUCUGGAGGAAUACCGAUGGCGAAGGCAGCCUUCUGGCAUCAUAUUGACACUGAGGUUCGAAAGCGUGGGUAGCAAAC